CAGGCGCCUCAAAGUUUCCAUGAGCAUUUUCUCAGAGCUACACAUUUCACUCUAGUGCUAGUAAAAACUUCCAGCCCCUGACCUGAGGAAGGUCACGUGACCUUUGUUCCUUGUCUCACUCUCCACAUUGCGUUUUCCAGUAAAGAUCUGGUAUGUUCUCUGCUUCUCACUCCUUGUAUCUUAGGAGAAAAGCGGGUAUUCUGCUCUGAAGGGAGAAAUGAAGAGACUGACGAGUUACCACUCCCGAAAGCCGUGGGAAGGUUCCGAUUGGGAAGAACUCUCACAUCCUCUCCUGGCAUCUCUAACCCCAAAGAUUUCCCCUCUUCUGUUCUGGAACUUACGCCCAGUGAGUGUGCACUACCCAGAGACAAUCCAGCCCGGAGUCCUGUCCUACUCCUCUCUGUCCUCGGCUUCAUCCUAGAGGCUGGCACACAGGACUCCACACUAAAACUGAAUGACGGAAACUCAAGGAAUUUCAAAGAGCCACUAAGUUGCAGACACCUUAUUUGAAUUUACUUUUGACGCCAAUUGCAGCAAUCUUUCCCCACAACAGGGUCAUACAGAUCACUGGAGGAGAGCGCUGCACGCGGGCUGCUGCUGGCUGUGGAGAGCCAGACCCAAGCCGCUCUCUGUGAGUCAGCAUCGUUGGCGGCCUGCAGGGGGAAAGAACCACAACCUACAGCGGGGAGAUUCCCCUUCCCCGGUAAUCACAACUGCUAAAUACCUCAAAUAAAUCAACCAGAUGAUUCACGCCGAAGCUGUGUGGCAGCUGAACAAGGACCCUGAGGCUGAGGAAGCAGAACUCCAAGGAGCAAGGGGGCAUUUGGAGAGGAGUGCAAAUGGAAGCUGAGGGUCCUGACCUUGAUCCCCAAGAUGCCCACGACUCCCCGUUCCUCUGAAGUCUCCACUCCAGCAGCUCCGUCUUCACCGCUGUGUAGGAGGCCUUCAGACUCUGCCCUUGAUUCCCAGUUGCCCACUUGCUAAGACUCAGUGUCUUAGCACUGAGACACUAAGUGCUUGGAGAAAUGGCCUCGUUGACUGCUGUUGGGCCCCAGGAUGCUGUUCGUUUGUUUGUUCAUCAGUGCUCAGCCUUCAGAGCCCGGUCCCAAAUUCCUUGCUCUCACCCCUUUUUCAUCACCUUAGAAAGCUUUCCUCACUUUGUGGAAAGUGAUUUAAAGAGAUAUUAAGCUAGUUCUUAAGAAAAUGUCCAUCACUUGCCACCUGCCCAAAUUUUGAGUUAGCAUUUCCACUUUUCCCAGAGAAACUUAGUUACCAAAGGAGUCUCUCAUUAGCUGAAAAUUCUGGCUAAUCGAAGAGAAUUUAUAGGUACUGAAAAGGAAAUAUUUUUGGGUGAUUCCAGACAUUUUAAUAAGAAUUUCAACCACUGUGUUCAGAAACAGUAACCUUUUAAGUAGAGUCUAAGCCUGACAAGCAAUAUCCUAUCACUUAAAUCUACCAAGGGUGCUAACUAGGAAAAAGUCAUCAGUGUCCUACAGUCAGUUGGUGGCAGAUACUGCAGUGCAAAAGGAUCCAGGAAACUUUUAUUGAAGACCCCAUAUCCUUGGAAACUCCUUUGAACCUAAACCAUUGGGAGUAUUUUGAGUCUGAGUCUCUGACAUCUUUAAGUAGCAAAAUAAAAGCCAGGGAUGGUGGUACAUGCUUUUAAUCCCAGCUACCUGAGAGGCUGAGUCAGGAGGACAUCCAAAGUGAUGGGAAGACCUAAAGGAGCCCGUCUAAGAUGCUCCUUUAAACAAGCGGGAUUCUGAAGGUUAUUUCAGGUCAUACCGUGUAUAUGCAAGAAGAAAGUUGUCAGGUUGUAAAAAAGAGAAAAGGCUACAUCCAAAGUGACGCUCCUCUCACACAGCCAUAUGGUAAAUUUGGAGAAGUUAGCUCUCUACAUCUAAGGAUUUGAAUCUUGCUUUCCAAAAUGGGAUAGAAAAGUGGAUUUCUGCCACUUGGCUUCAGCAGUUCAAUAAAUAACUCUUUAAUCCAAAUGUCUACCUUUGACUGCAGAUAUAAAGGUUUACAGAAAGAAAGACAAAAAAUGUCUUUUGAAUUCUACUGUAACAAUGACAUUGAAAUGACCUAACCGUAGACCACAGAAAUUCAGAUAGAAUUUUUAAAAAUCUGCCCUUGCAAUGUGAAGCAUACAUAAUGAAAUAUCUGCUUCCCUGCACCCCUACUACUUAUUUUCUCCAUAAAAAACAGCAAUCUAAUAAACAUCUGUUCUCUUUCAUUGUCCAAGGGAUCUUGUUCACUAAUGUAAACAACCAUUGCUUUGUUCUCUCGGGAGAAAACAAAACACGAUCAAUCAAAGCAGAGCUACAUACCCAGACC